UGGGGAAUUGUUCGCAAUGGGCGCAAGCCUGACGACGCAACGCCGCGUGGGGGAUGAAGGCCUUAGGGUCGUAAACCCCUUUCAGCAGGGACGAAAAUGACGGUACCUGCAGAAGAAGCCCCGGCCAACUACGUGCCAGCAGCCGCGGUAAGACGUAGGGGGCGAGCGUUGUCCGGAUUUAUUGGGCGUAAAGAGCUCGUAGGCGGUUGCGUAAGUCGGAUGUGAAAACUCAGGGCUCAACCCUGAGACGCCAUCCGAUACUGCGCUGACUUGAAUCCAGUAGGGGAGUGUGGAAUUCCUGGUGUAGCGGUGAAAUGCGCAGAUAUCAGGAGGAACACCCAUGGCGAAGGCAGCACUCUGGGCUGGUAUUGACGCUGAGGAGCGAAAGCAUGGGUAGCGAACAGGAUUAGAUACCCGCGUAGUCCCUGAGCGGGCUGGCAAGGCGCAU
rnacentral:rRNA from 1 species